rnacentral:rRNA from 1 species
GACGAACGCUGGCGGCGUGCUUAACACAUGCAAGUCGAACGGAAAGGCCCCCACUUUUUUGGUGGGGGUACUCGAGUGGCGAACGGGUGAGUAACACGUGGGUGAUCUGCCCUGUACUUCGGGAUAAGCUUGGGAAACUGGGUCUAAUACCGGAUAGGACCAUGGUUUAGUGUCUCAUGGUGGAAAAAUAUUGUUUUGGUGCAGGAUGAGCUCGCGGCCUAUCAGCUUGUUGGUGGGGUAAUGGCCUACCAAGGCGUCGACGGGUAGCCGGCCUGAGAGGGUGGACGGCCACAUUGGGACUGAGAUACGGCCCAGACUCCUACGGGAGGCAGCAGUGGGGAAUAUUGCACAAUGGGCGCAAGCCUGAUGCAGCGACGCCGCGUGGGGGAUGACGGCCUUCGGGUUGUAAACUCCUUUCGUUAGGGACGAAGCCGCGCCUUUUUUUGGGUGUGGUGACGGUACCUUUGUUAAGAAGCACCGGCUAACUACGUGCCAGCAGCCGCGGUAAUACGUAGGGUGCGAGCGUUGUCCGGAAUUACUGGGCGUAAAGAGCUCGUAGGUGGUUUGUUGCGUCGUCUGUGAAAUUCCGGGGCUUAACUUCGGGGUGGCAGGCGAUACGGGCAUAACUAGAGUGCUGUAAGGGAGACUGGAAUUCCUGGUGUAGCGGUGGAAUGCGCAGAUAUCAGGAGGAACACCGAUGGCGAAGGCAGGUCUCUGGGCAGUAACUGACGCUGAGGAGCGAAAGCAUGGGGAGCGAACAGGAUUAGAUACCCUGGUAGUCCAUGCUGUAAACGGUGGGCGUUAGGUGUGGGGACCGGUUUUGGUUUCUGUGCCGUAGCUAACGCAUUAAGCGCCCCGCCUGGGGAGUACGGCCGCAAGGCUAAAACUCAAAGGAAUUGACGGGGGCCCGCACAAGCGGCGGAGCAUGUGGAUUAAUUCGAUGCAACGCGAAGAACCUUACCUGGGUUUGACAUGCACCAGACGGUUGUAGAGAUACGUACCUCCCUUUGUGGUUGGUGUGCAGGUGGUGCAUGGUUGUCGUCAGCUCGUGUCGUGAGAUGUUGGGUUAAGUCCCGCAACGAGCGCAACCCUUGUCUUAUGUUGCCAGCACGUUUUGGUGGGGACUCAUGAGAGACUGCCGGGGUUAACUCGGAGGAAGGUGGGGAUGACGUCAAAUCAUCAUGCCCUUUAUGCCCAGGGCUUCACACAUGCUACAAUGGUUAGUACAACGCGCUGCGAACCUGUGAGGGUGAGCGAAUCGCUGAAAGCUAAUCUCAGUUCGGAUUGGGGUCUGCAACUCGACCCCAUGAAGUCGGAGUCGCUAGUAAUCGCAGAUCAGCAAUGCUGCGGUGAAUACGUUCCCGGGCCU